rnacentral:rRNA from 1 species
CAGAACGAACGCUGGCGGCAUGCCUAACACAUGCAAGUCGAACGGGAUCCGGACUUCGGUUCGGUGAGAGUGGCGGACGGGUGAGUAACGCGUGGGAACCUGCCCAGUGGUGGGGGAUAACUGCGGGAAACUGCAGCUAAUACCGCAUGAGCCCGAGAGGGGAAAGAUUUAUCGCCAUUGGAGGGGCCCGCGUUCGAUUAGGUAGUUGGUGGGGUAAUGUCCUACCAAGCCGGGGAAAGAUAGCUGGUCUGAGAGGACGAUCAGCCACACUGGGACUGAGUCUCGGCCCAGAGACAUACGGGAGGCA